AUCUACGGCCAUACCACUCUGAACAUGCCCAAUCUCGUCUGAUCUCGGAAGCUAAGCAGGGUCGGGCCUGGUUAGUACUUGGAUGGGAGAUGGAGUCUCUCUCUGUCACCCAGGCUGGAGUGCAGU
rnacentral:rRNA from 1 species